rnacentral:lncRNA from 1 species
UUCGUUUAAUACUAUGUACGAACUUGUUGUACACUAUUUCCAGAUUGUUCCUAACAAACGUUAACCACUUGCGUGACUCACUUUUUCAUAACAGACUAUUGAAUAACAGGUUGAUACAUGAAACCGGUUGAACUUAUUUUAGAACUAUUGGGAUAAAUCUGAAAGCUACAAUCUAUAUAGUCCAUUAUACAUUCAAUCACUUAAACAAAUAGUCCUAAUUAUAGUUUAAACCAUUACUAUCAACUAUAAGGCGAAUACAAUACGUGAUGAAUUUCCCGUGAAGCCGGGCUUCCAUUUUUCAUUUUUAGUUCUGCAACUUUACGUAAAUACUGAUGUUCAAAAAUAUGUUCCUCGAUUGGAAAGCAGAACAGAAGAAGAAAGAUCAGUCAGCAGUAGAUAACACAGCAACAACAGUAGUAACAGAGCAGUAGUACCAAACAACUCAGACUUAAAAUCAGCAGUAAAACUCCAACAGCAAAAGAGUAAUGAAAAUAACCAACACCAGUACCAGAUUGACCAAAGUAUAACCCCAGCAGACCCAACAGAAUCAAAGUAACAAACACUCAGAUCCAAACAAUAACAACACCAGUUCCCAAACCAGCAAUUCACUCAAGCAGAUGAACCUAAGGUUUGGAAAUGUUUGCCUCUAAACUCUCAACACUCUCACAGACUGAUUAAAGAACCAAAUGCAGAAAACUAAGAGGACUGGUUGUUUUUUUAAAGAUUCCUAAUAUUCUUUAUGUUUUUUACCUCUGAAAAUGAUCUUCAAAAACCAACUAAUUUCUAUCAAUCUGAACUUUAAUCUUCAAAAUUCAGUCCCCCUCUAGUCCUAAACGACCCCUAUUUUAUACCAAAGGCCGUCCCUUUUUUCAGCUCCUUUUUCUUUACUUUUACUAUUACCCUUUUAUUAUUACCCUCUACUUCUUUCUUGCUUUCUAGCUACUAUAUUCCUCUACUAUGUGUAUCUUUUAGCUUUUCAUUAUUAAUCUACUAUUUCUAAUAUUCAAUUAGUAAAAGGUGCCUAAAAGUUGUCCCCUCCACAACUGAUCCCCCUUUUUAAUUAAAUUAUUCAGUAGUUCAGUGGCCCUCUGAACAUUCAAGCUGGCAGACCAUUCAAACUGACCAUUUUCUUCAAGUUUUUGACAUCCCAAACUGCCCUCCUAAAGUUACUGAAACUACUGACCCAUAAGCUACAACUAAUCCUCCUAAUCAGCUAUAACCAGCUCCUAAUCAAGUUCGAACAAUAAUUCAAAGUCGGAGCUCUGAUUCAAUCUGAAAUGGCACCUAACAUAAAGACUAAAGGUUCAGGGCAUCACAUACUGAGCUAUCUAUAUUGGUGAGCCAAUCAUAUUCAACUCAGAGACAAGUAAAUUGAAACCAACUACAUUAAACAUACACCUCAUUGAAUUGGAAAACCAAAAAAGAAACAACCAGAAGAAGUUUUAUAGGGGAAUGACAGGAAAAUGAUAACAAAUGAUCAAUCAAUUCAUUUUGAAGACGAACUAAAUAUACAAAAAGGCUUAUUUCAAAGUUCACACGCCAGCAGGCUUAUUGCGAUAUGAAAAUUGGAACAAAAACGAGAAGGGGAUGAAGCAUACUGGAAGGAACAACUAAACUACAAUCAUGUUUAAACUAACACUUAAACCACGGGCUAAUCGAUGAAGCUUGUUCAAUCAUUUAAACAAUUUAUACAUGUAAUCCAUAAUAAUAGAAACAAUGACAAAAUUGGACCAAAUAAAAGGUCUGAUGAAGAAGGAAAGAAAAUCGGCAAUAGAAAAAUUCCAACUCAUCUUUAAACAGACAAACAACAAUAAAAAUGGAAAAAUGAGGAGAAAAAAUAGAAGAAAUACCUUAGAAAUUAGAAACCAAAUGGACUCCGCCUAAAACUUUUGACUCGAACCUUUUGGGGUCAAAUGGACCUUAAUAUAGUGUUCUCUACACAGAACACUUCGACUAAGGUUGAUUAAACACCCAAGUUUCCCCCGUUUUUGGACAAAUUCCAGCUUGGUCAUAUUUUAGGGUUUUUGGUUCAUUUUGGGAUUCGAACGAGUCCAACGUGAUUCGAAGGGAACCAGUGUUGAUUCAGGGAUGAGGGAGGUCUAGUGGUUGUGUGGUGUUAAUUAGGGGUGGAUUGGGCGGGUUCAUGGUCUGCUCGAAUCUUCGAUUGAAGAUUCGAGAAGAUGUGGGGUGAUUCGAGGCAAACAAUUCAUGGAUUCGUGUUGUGGAUGGGGAGAUGGCUUGGGAGUGUCAAUUUGGUCGUCGGAGGCGUCGUUACUGCCGGGUUUCUGAUGGAAUCACUGGGUGGUGGCUAGGGUUUGUAAGGUGGAGUUCGUCUCUGAGAGAGACGAAGAUAUGGGUGUUUUGUUUUGGG